CCACCGGGAGCUUUGUCUUUAAGCAGGGAUAAGUUACUCUAAAACAAAUGAAACCUAGAUAGUUCUCCCUUCCAGUCAAGCACCUCGU
rnacentral:pre_miRNA from 1 species